ACAAGCUGAAACGUCAAGACUGGGCCAAGAAAUAUCUCAAGACUGAUUUUUCUAAGGUUUUAUGGACUGAUGAAAUGAGAGUGAGUCUUGAUGGGCCAGAUGGAUGGGCCCGUGGCUGGAUUGGUAAAGGGCAGAGAGCUCCAGUCCGACUCAGACGCCAGCAAGGUGGAGGUGGAGUACUGGUUUGGGCUGGUAUCAUCAAAGAUGAGCUUGUGGGGCCUUUUCGGGUUGAGGAUGGAGUCAAGCUCAACUCCCAGUCCUACUGCCAGUUCCUG
rnacentral:lncRNA from 1 species